GUGCCCGUAACUCAGUGGUAGAGUGUGAGAUUGCAAUGCUGAGAUCUUACCAUUACGAUCUUGAAGCCGCGUGUUCGAACCACGCCGGGCACU